CAUUUGGAUACAAGGCCACUAUGGGAGGAUGGGAGAGGAAUGUUCUUUCGAUCCAAAACAUCUAUUUCUUUUUGACAGGCUAAAGAACAGUGGUAUUGAGUGCAAACACAUUUACUCACUGCUCCAAAAGGGCCCAGGAAAUUGACGACAAGUUGUUAAAGCAAAGAAAACGCUGUGUUUAGUAAGCCAGCAAGCCCUAGGAGAUGGCUGGAUGAGCACACUGAAAGGCCAUCUUUACACUGGCUCGAAGCUCG
rnacentral:lncRNA from 1 species